rnacentral:rRNA from 1 species
UAAGGCUCAUGACCGAAAGGGGUUUAACCCAGACUGAAGUUAAGGUCCCCAAAUUUUUGCUAAGUGUCAAGCCAAAGAGUGUGUUCUCGCCAAGACAGCAGGGAGGUAAGCUCAGAAGCAGCUAUCCUUUAAAAAGUGUGUAACAACUUACCUGCCGAGGGGGGAUGCCUCAAAAACGGACGGGGCUAAAGCAAAGUACCGAUACUUUAGAUAAUCAUCAGUGGAUGAUUCGUGGUAGGUUGGCGUAGUGAUUGGGUCGAAGCAGGGCGGUGACGUCCUGUGGACCGGUUUCUAUUGCAGAUCCUGGCGGCAGUAACAGCAUAGUAUUGUGAGAACCAAUACCACCGUAAGCGCAAGGGUUUCCAGGCAAUGCGUUAUCAGCCUGGAGGUAGUCGAUCCUAAGGUUUACCUCAACAGAGUAAAUCGAAUGGGAAACUAGUUAAUAUUCUAGUACCUUGCAUGGAGCGUUUGAGCUAUAUGAUUCGCUUUCGGAUAGGGGUUGUAUAACCAUCGUUAUAUCUAACUGUUCGAGGGUUGGGGAGUGUCGUAAUGACGAGAACCAACCCGAGACGGGAAUGGCUCCGCGUUAGCGGAGUUUCCUUGAGUCCAAGAGACCAUGAAAGAUUGUGUAGUAAGCAAAGUGCAAGCUCGUACCCAGAACCGACACAGGUGCGCUGGCUUAGAAAGCUAAGGUGCUACGGGUAUACCGUAUGGCGAGGGAAUUCGGCAAAAUAGUCCUGUAGCUUAGGUACAAGGGAUGCCUGCGGUCUUCAUGAGGAAUGGGGAUCGCAGGUUGCAAUUACAAGGGGGUCCCGACUGUUUAAUAAAAACACAGGCGACUGCUAGUCCGAAAGGAUUUGUAUAGUCGCUGAAUCCUGGCCGGUGCCGGUACCUAAAACUUGGGUUCAACCGAGCUAAGGGCCGGUUAACGCCGGGAGUAACUCUGACUCUCUUAAGGUAGCCAAAUGCCUUGUCGGGUAAGUUCCGACGCGCAUGAAUGGAACAACGAGA